rnacentral:rRNA from 1 species
UACGGAGGAUGCGAGCGUUAUCCGGAUUUAUUGGGUUUAAAGGGUGCGUAGGCGGAUUUUUAAGUCAGCGGUAAAAUGUCCGGGCUCAACCCGGGCCGGCCGUUGAAACUGGGGAUCUUGAGUGGGCGAGAAGUAUGCGGAAUGCGUGGUGUAGCGGUGGAAUGCAUAGAUAUCACGCAGAACUCCGAUUGCGAAGGCAGCAUACCGGCGCCCGACUGACCCUGAGGCACGAAAGCGUGGGGAUCGAACAGG